rnacentral:rRNA from 1 species
CCUACGGGGGGCAGCAGUGAGGAAUAUUGGUCAAUGGGCGCGAGCCUGAACCAGCCAAGUAGCGUGAAGGAUGACUGCCCUACGGGUUGUAAACUUCUUUUAUAAAGGAAUAAAGUGAGGCACGUGUGCCUUUUUGUAUGUACUUUAUGAAUAAGGAUCGGCUAACUCCGUGCCAGUAGCCGCGGUAAUACGGAGGGUCCGAGCGUUAUCCGGAUUUAUUGGGUUUAAAGGGAGCGUAGAUGGGUUGUUAAGUCAGUUGUGAAAGGUUGCGGCUCAACCGUAAAAUUGCAAUUGAUACUGGCAGCCUUGAGUACAGUUGAGGUAAGCGGAAUUUGUGGUGUAGCGGUGAAAUGCGUAGAUAUCACGAAGAACUCCGAUGGCGAAGGCAGCCUACUAAACUGCAACUGACAUUGAUGCUCGAAAGUGUGGGUAGCAAACAGGAUUAGAUACCCUAGUAGUC